UAACGCCGCAAGGCCCCGGCAAUCUGUCGGAUCGGUGGAAGCCCGAUGCCCGUCGAAAUGGCGGGCGGCGCUCAUGGCAAAAUC
rnacentral:ribozyme from 1 species